rnacentral:rRNA from 1 species
GCUGGCGGCGUGCCUAACACAUGCAAGUCGAACGCGAAAGGGGCUUCGGCUCUGAGUAGAGUGGCGAACGGGUGAGUAACACGUGGGUGACCUACCUUCGAAUGGGGGAUAACGUCCCGAAAGGGACGCUAAUACCGCAUAACAUCCUGUCUUUGAAGAGAUGGAGAUCAAAGCUGGGGAUCGUAAGACCUGGCGUUUGAAGAGGGGCCCGCGUCCGAUUAGCUAGUUGGUGAGGUAAUGGCUUACCAAGGCGACGAUCGGUAGCCGGCCUGAGAGGGCGGACGGCCACACUGGGACUGAGACACGGCCCAGACUCCUACGGGAGGCAGCAGUGGGGAAUUGUUCGCAAUGGGCGCAAGCCUGACGACGCAACGCCGCGUGGAGGAUGAAGGUCUUCGGAUUGUAAACUCCUGUUGCCCGGGACGAAACGCUCUGACCUAACAC